AUUGAACGCUGGCGGCAUGAUUUACGCAUGCAAGUCGAACGGUAACAGGCCGCAAGGUGCUGACGAGUGGCGAACGGGCGAGUAAUGCAUCGGAACGUGCCCAGUCGUGGGGGAUAACUACUCGAAAGAGUAGCUAAUACCGCAUACGAUCUAUGGAUGAAAGCGGGGGACCGUAAGGCCUCGCGCGAUUGGAGCGGCCGAUGUCAGAUUAGGUAGUUGGUGGGGUAAAGGCUCACCAAGCCAACGAUCUGUAGCUGGUCUGAGAGGACGACCAGCCACACUGGGACUGAGACACGGCCCAGACUCCUACGGGAGGCAGCAGUGGGGAAUUUUGGACAAUGGGCGCAAGCCUGAUCCAGCAAUGCCGCGUGCAGGAAGAAGGCCUUCGGGUUGUAAACUGCUUUUGUACGGAACGAAACGGCUCUGGUUAAUACCCGGGGCUAAUGACGGUACCGUAAGAAUAAGCACCGGCUAACUACGUG
rnacentral:rRNA from 1 species